rnacentral:rRNA from 1 species
GACGAACGCUGGCGGCGUGCUUAACACAUGCAAGUCGAACGGAAAGGCCCUGCUUGCAGGGUGCUCGAAUGGCGAACGGGUGAGUAACACGUGGGUGAUCUGCCGCUUACUUUGGGAUAAGCCUGGGAAACUGGGUCUAAUACUGGAUAGGACCAUGCUGUAGGUGGUGUGGUGGAAAGAUUAGUUUCGGUGAGGGAUGAGCUCGCGGCGUAUCAGCUUGUUGGUGGGGUAAUGGCCUACCAAGGCGUCGACGGGUAUCCGGCCUGAGAGGGUGGACGGCCACAUUGGGACUGAGAUACAGCCCGGACUCCUACGGGAGGCAGCAGUGGGGAAUAUUGCACAAUGGGCGCAAGCCUGAUGCAGCGACGCCGCGUGGGGGAUGACGGCCUUCGGGUUGUAAACUCCUUUCAGCCAUGACGAAGCCCUUGUGGUGACGGUAGUGGUAGAAGAAGCACCGGCUAACUACGUG